UCAGAUUGAACGCUGGCGGCGUGCCUUACACAUGCAAGUCGAACGUGAAAGUACCUUCGGGUAUGAGUAAAGUGGCGCACGGGUGAGUAACGCGUGGAUAAUCUACCGGGAAGUUCGGAAUAACAGCUGGAAACGGUUGCUAAUACCGGAUACACUACAUAUAAACGUAUGUGGGAAAGACGGCCUCUGCAUAUGCUGUUGCUUUCCGAUGAGUCCGCGUACCAUUAGCUAGUUGGUGGGGUAAAGGCCUACCAAGGCGACGAUGGUUAACUGGUCUGAGAGGAUGAUCAGUCACACUGGAACUGGAACACGGUCCAGACUCCUACGGGAGGCAGCAGUGGGGAAUAUUGCGCAAUGGGCGAAAGCCUGACGCAGCGACGCCGCGUGAGGGAUGAAGGUCUUCGGAUCGUAAACCUCUGUCAGCAGGGAAGAACGGUCACUGUGCUAAUCAGCAGUGAAUUGACGGUACCUGCAAAGGAAGCACCGGCUAACUCCGUGCCAGCAGCCGCGGUAAUACGGAGGGUGCGAGCGUUAAUCGGAAUUACUGGGCGUAAAGCGCUCGUAGGCGGUAUGUCAAGUCAAGGGUGAAAUCCCCGCGCUCAACGUGGGAACUGCCUUUGAAACUGGCAAACUGGAGUGUGUGAGAGGAUAGUGGAAUUCCAGGUGUAGGAGUGAAAUCCGUAGAUAUCUGGAGGAAC
rnacentral:rRNA from 1 species